rnacentral:rRNA from 1 species
UACGAAGGGGGCUAGCGUUGCUCGGAAUCACUGGGCGUAAAGGGCGCGUAGGCGGCGUUUUAAGUCGGGGGUGAAAGCCUGUGGCUCAACCACAGAAUGGCCUUCGAUACUGGGACGCUUGAGUAUGGUAGAGGUUGGUGGAACUGCGAGUGUAGAGGUGAAAUUCGUAGAUAUGGGGAGGAACACCGGUGGCGAAGGCGGCCAUCUGGACGGAUACUGACGCUGAGACGCGAAAGCGUGGGGAGCAAACAGG